rnacentral:rRNA from 1 species
AUUGAACGCUGGCGGCAUGCCUUACACAUGCAAGUCGAACGGUAACGCGGGGCAACCUGGCGACGAGUGGCGAACGGGUGAGUAAUGUAUCGGAACGUGCCCAGUUGUGGGGGAUAACUGCUCGAAAGAGCAGCUAAUACCGCAUACGACCUGAGGGUGAAAGCGGGGGAUCGCAAGACCUCGCGCAAUUGGAGCGGCCGAUAUCAGAUUAGGUAGUCGGUGAGGUAAAGGCUCACCAAGUCGACGAUCUGUAGCUGGUCUGAGAGGACGACCAUGCACCCUGGGACUGAGAACCGGCCAAGACUCCUACGGGAGGCAGCAGUGGGGAAUUUUGGACAAUGGACGCAAGUCUGAUCCAGCCAUGCCGCGUGCGGGAAGAAGGCCUUCGGGUUGUAAACCGCUUUUGUCAGGGAAGAAACGCUCUGGGUUAAUACCUCGGGGUAAUGACGGUACCUGAAGAAUAAGCACCGGCUAACUACGUGCCAGCAGCCGCCGUAAAAC